rnacentral:rRNA from 1 species
AACGUAGGUGGCAAGCGUUGUCCGGAAUUACUGGGUGUAAAGGGAGCGCAGGCGGACUAGCAAGUUGGAAGUGAAAUCUAUGGGCUCAACCCAUAAAUUGCUUUCAAAACUGCCGGUCUUGAGUAGUGCAGAGGUAGGCGGAAUUCCCGGUGUAGCGGUGGAAUGCGUAGAUAUCGGGAGGAACACCAGUGGCGAAGGCGGCCUACUGGGCACCAACUGACGCUGAGGCUCGAAAGCAUGGGUAGCAAACAGG